rnacentral:lncRNA from 1 species
CACACACACACGAAUGUUGUUCAGGGAGAAGCAGAUGAGUCAGAGCCUUCUGCCCCAGCACUUUCUGACACUUGUGUAGGCAGGGCCUAGAGGACCAUACACAUCAGGGCAGCAUCCCCAAAAACCAUGUGCUGCUGGAACAAAGCAGAAAUCAGGAAGCAGGAAAAAGUCCCUGAAAAACGGCCGAUUUCCGUUCAGGAGGAAAGCCCACCCCACCCCCACAGAGAACCGUCCAAACCGGAGUGUGGCUCAGGACCUCCAACCUCUGUGAAUCAGUUGCCUUAUUUGGAAAGGGAGAGACUGUCAGGCUGUCACCACUCUACAAGAAGUCUGUGAGCAUGAACUGUAUUCUGAAGCCAUGUAAGGGGAACACGGGUACGCUCAAGGUGCUGGUGGAAUCUUGAGAACAGAACUCCCCUAAUACAGGUAAAUCCUGAUAGCCCUAAAGCCUGCAAUGGACAAACUGCAAAACAAGCCCUGGGUGGCAUGUGCAUGCACAGCAGCUGGGCCAACCUAGAACUGAGUAGGAGAGCCGCUAUCUCCCCCCCAACUCUCCUCACCCCCCCCCAAAAUGGCCUGCCCCAAAGGAAAUAUGAGAAUGUUUUAUUUACACUAGGGAAAACAAAAAAAGAAGCAUCAGAAUUGUCUGAUGAUGUCUGAUGAAGUCACAAAGCUUGUUCCCGGGAGGCCUUAAGUGGCUGCAGGAGCUCUGAGCAAGGGCCCAGCAGUGCCAACAUGUCAGUGAGCAUAAAGUCUCUGUUGAUCCCAAUGGAGUGCGGCAAACUCACCUGAAUGCACUGUGGCUUACGUUUCCAGGGUCUUCAAACUGUUAUCUAUGAGGGAAAUUUAGCUCCGUUUUAUGCAGUUCUAACAAGAGGCAACAAAGCUUCCACUAUAAACAGUCUGGAGGAAAAGCUUUUAAUUUUGUUUGUCACUUAAGUAUUGAACAUGAGGUCUCCUGG